AAGCUCACCACGAUACUCCCAUUUACAAGCUAACCAUUCACUUCUGCUUAAGAUCAUAUUAGUCACUAAUUUAUUUUUAUCCAUCGUGGCACUAAAGAGUCUCAUAAAUCGAUUACUAAGAGUCACCCUACCAGCUACCACCCAUGGAUUCAUCCAGAAAAGCUGUCAAAACCAUUUACCACCUCCUUAACCAUGUUAUCCACAAAUACUAUAUUAAUUACUACCCCAACAAUGAUACAUGCACAAGUCUAAAAGAAACAAAGGAUGCGAACCCGAGUAAAAGUAAAAUACAAUUUACAAUUAUUAUUUUCAAUGUUAUAUGUCAGAGUGGAAUUUUUCCCAACUUGAACUUCAAGACUCGCUAAACUGAAAUAACUGUCAUUGUGGAAUUUUUCAGAGUGGAAUUUUUCAGAGUAAAAUACAAUAUAUGUCAGAGUGGAAUUUUUCCCAACUUGUAGCUAGUCCCUCUUACUCAUGUAAUCAACUACUUAAGAUAACCAUAAUUGUGGUCAUUCAAAUUCAAAUAUGAAUAAUUAAAAGUAUCUUCAAAGUGAUUCAGGAGUGCGAAAGCGACACCACAAAUACUAGUUCUUACUUCAAGUUAAAAAUUCACUUUAUCACACAUUCACAAUAAUUUAUUUGUAACCU
rnacentral:lncRNA from 1 species